UGUUAAGAGUUGGGGUUAUAUAAUCAGAGUUGAAAUUCAAUAUUUAACCUUAAUUUCUAUCUGGUAUAAUGUAUAUCACCUAGUGUAAACUUUGCCUUUGCAGUGUUUUUCCAUUGCAAAGAGGUAUUCGUGUACCCAGACGAUGACAACAAACAUGAAGUUGGUGAAGGUCUCGAUAAGAAAGCUGAGAUCACUUUGAACUGUGUUUGGCCAAGAGAUAAAUCUGUUUGAACACUGGUUAAGAGUCCUGAGAAGUUGAAGGCAAUGAGAUGACAAGACAAGAUAAGAAGAGAUUUUUCUUAAAGUCAGUGCCAUGUUUAUUGACUACAGACCUGAGGUGAAACAUUUCUCAAAGUGCAGUUUAGUUGAUGACUCGGAUGAGGAAGAUAUGCAGGACAAGACAAGAAACGUUUGCACCUGGCACAGCAGCAACA
rnacentral:lncRNA from 1 species